rnacentral:rRNA from 1 species
GACGAACGCUGGAGGCGUGCUUAACACAUGUAAGUCGAACGAUGAAAUGGAGCUUGCUCCAUGGAUUAGUGGCGAACGGUUGAGUAACACGUGAAUAACCUGCCCUUAAUUUUGGAAUAACCCAGGGAAACCUGGGCUAAUACCGGAUAAGUAAACCUGUGGCAUCACAUGGUUUUGGAAAGUUUUUCGAUUCAGGAUGGAUUCGCGGCCUAUCAGCUUGUUGGUGAAGUAAUGGCUCACCAAGGCGACGACGGGUAGCCGGCCUGAGAGGGUGAACGGCCACACUGGGACUGAGACACGGCCCAGACUCCUACGGGAGGCAGCAGUGGGGAAUAUGGCGCAAUGGACGAAAGUCUGACGCAGCGACGCCUCGUGAGGGACGAAGGUCUUCGGAUUGUAAACCUCUUUCAGCAGGGACGAAGCGAAAGUGACGGUAGGUGCAGAAGAAGGACCGGCCAACUACGUGCCAGCCGCCGCCGUAA